GGGUAGUUUGACUGGGGCGGUCUCCUCCUAAAGAGUAACGGAGGAGCACGAAGGUUGGCUAAUCCUGGUCGGACAUCAGGAGGUUAGUGCAAUGGCAUAAGCCAGCUUGACUGCGAGCGUGACGGCGCGAGCAGGUGCGAAAGCAGGUCAUAGUGAUCCGGUGGUUCUGAAUGGAAGGGCCAUCGCUCAACGGAUAAAAGGUACUCCGGGGAUAACAGGCUGAUACCGCCCAAGAGUUCAUAUCGACGGCGGUGUUUGGCACCUCGAUGUCGGCUCAUCACAUCCUGGGGCUGAAGUAGGUCCCAAGGGUAUGGCUGUUCGCCAUUUAAAGUGGUACGCGAGCUGGGUUUAGAACGUCGUGAGACAGUUCGGUCCCUAUCUGCCGUGGGCGCUGGAGAACUGAGGGGGGCUGCUCCUAGUACGAGAGGACCGGAGUGGACGCAUCACUGGUGUUCGGGUUGUCAUGCCAAUGGCACUGCCCGGUAGCUAAAUGCGGAAGAGAUAAGUGCUGAAAGCAUCUAAGCACGAAACUUGCCCCGAGAUGAGUUCUCCCUGACUCCCUGAGAGUCCUGAAGGAACGUUGAAGACGACGACGUUGAUAGGCCGGGUGUGUAAGCGCAGCGAUGC
rnacentral:rRNA from 1 species